AGCCUUGUGGCGUAAUGGAUAACGCACCGGACUUCUAAUCCGGGGAUUGCGGGUUCGAGUCCCGUCGAGGUUA
rnacentral:tRNA from 1 species